GGGGAUAUUGGACAAUGGGGGGAACCCUGAUCCAGCGACGCCGCGUGAGUGAAGAAGUAUCUCGGUAUGUAAAGCUCUAUCAGCAGGGAAGAAAGAAAUGACGGUACCUGAGUAAGAAGCCCCGGCUAACUACGUGCCAGCAGCCGCGGUAAUACGUAGGGGGCAAGCGUUAUCCGGAAUUACUGGGUGUAAAGGGAGCGUAGACGGUGAAGUAAGUCUGGAGUGAAAGGCGGGGGCCCAACCCCCGGACUGCUCUGGAAACUAUUUGACUGGAGUGCAGGAGAGGUAAGCGGAAUUCCUAGUGUAGCGGUGAAAUGCGUAGAUAUUAGGAGGAACACCAGUGGCGAAGGCGGCUUUCUGGACUGUAACUGACACUGAGGUACGAAAGCGUGGGGAGCAAACAG
rnacentral:rRNA from 1 species